GUUUCCAGGGAAAUAAGUUUAGAUGUGUUAAAAAUAUGGCAUUUGAUCCAUCAGGCAAAAUGGCUGUUUUCUAUGCAAAACCCUUUAGAACUUAUUACAAGACACCUACAUUAUGUGAAGUAUGUGGUGCUCCAGACCGCUGGUCAGUAUCUAUAGUUGCAGCACAAGGCAUUUCAAG